GAUGAACGCUGGCGGCGUGCCUAAUACAUGCAAGUCGAGCGAACGGACGAGAAGCUUGCUUCUCUGAUGUUAGCGGCGGACGGGUGAGCAACACGUGGAUAACCUACCUAUAAGACUGGGAUAACUUCGGGAAACCGGAGCUAAUACCGGAUGAUAUUUUGAACCGCAUGGUUCAAAAGUGAAAGACGGUCUUGCUGUCACUUAUGGAUGGAUCCGCGCUGCAUUAGCUAGUUGGUAAGGUAACGGCUUACCAAGGCAACGAUGCAUAGCCGACCUGAGAGGGUGAUCGGCCACACUGGAACUGAGACACGGUCCAGACUCCUACGGGAGGCAGCAGUAGGGAAUCUUCCGCAAUGGGCGAAAGCCUGACGGAGCAACGCCGCGUGAGUGAGGAAGGUCUUCGGAUCGUAAAACUCUGUUAUUAGGGAAGAACAUAUGUGUAAGUAACUGUGCACAUCUUGACGGUACCUAAUCAGAAAGCCACGGCUAACUACGUG
rnacentral:rRNA from 1 species